rnacentral:rRNA from 1 species
AAUGCACAUGCUGUGAGCUCGAUGAGUAGGGCGGGACACGUGGUAUCCUGUCUGAAUAUGGGGGGACCAUCCUCCAAGGCUAAAUACUCCUGACUGACCGAUAGUGAACCAGUACCGUGAGGGAAAGGCGAAAAGAACCCCGGCGAGGGGAGUGAAAAAGAACCUGAAACCGUGUACGUACAAGCAGUGGGAGCACGCUUAGGCGUGUGACUGCGUACCUUUUGUAUAAUGGGUCAGCGACUUAUAUUCUGUAGCAAGGUUAACCGAAUAGGGGAGCCGAAGGGAAACCGAGUCUUAACUGGGCGUUAAGUUGCAGGGUAUAGACCCGAAACCCGGUGAUCUAGCCAUGGGCAGGUUGAAGGUUGGGUAACACUAACUGGAGGACCGAACCGACUAAUGUUGAAAAAUUAGCGGAUGACUUGUGGCUGGGGGUGAAAGGCCAAUCAAACCGGGAGAUAGCUGGUUCUCCCCGAAAGCUAUUUAGGUAGCGCCUCGUGAAUUCAUCUCCGGGGGUAGAGCACUGUUUCGGCAAGGGGGUCAUCCCGACUUACCAACCCGAUGCAAACUGCGAAUACCGGAGAAUGUUAUCACGGGAGACACACGGCGGGUGCUAACGUCCGUCGUGAAGAGGGAAACAACCCAGACCGCCAGCUAAGGUCCCAAAGUCAUGGUUAAGUGGGAAACGAUGUGGGAAGGCCCAGACAGCCAGGAUGUUGGCUUAGAAGCAGCCAUCAUUUAAAGAAAGCGUAAUAGCUCACUGGUCGAGUCGGCCUGCGCGGAAGAUGUAACGGGGCUAAACCAUGCACCGAAGCUGCGGCAGCGACGCUUAUGCGUUGUUGGGUAGGGGAGCGUUCUGUAAGCCUGUGAAGGUGUACUGUGAGGUAUGCUGGAGGUAUCAGAAGUGCGAAUGCUGACAUAAGUAACGAUAAAGCGGGUGAAAAGCCCGCUCGCCGGAAGACCAAGGGUUCCUGUCCAACGUUAAUCGGGGCAGGGUGAGUCGACCCCUAAGGCGAGGCCGAAAGGCGUAGUCGAUGGGAAACAGGUUAAUAUUCCUGUACUUGGUGUUACUGCGAAGGGGGGACGGAGAAGGCUAUGUUGGCCGGGCGACGGUUGUCCCGGUUUAAGCGUGUAGGCUGGUUUUCCAGGCAAAUCCGGAAAAUCAAGGCUGAGGCGUGAUGACGAGGCACUACGGUGCUGAAGCAACAAAUGCCCUGCUUCCAGGAAAAGCCUCUAAGCAUCAGGUAACAUCAAAUCGUACCCCAAACCGACACAGGUGGUCAGGUAGAGAAUACCAAGGCGCUUGAGAGAACUCGGGUGAAGGAACUAGGCAAAAUGGUGCCGUAACUUCGGGAGAAGGCACGCUGAUAUGUAGGUGAAGUCCCUCGCGGAUGGAGCUGAAAUCAGUCGAAGAUACCAGCUGGCUGCAACUGUUUAUUAAAAACACAGCACUGUGCAAACACGAAAGUGGACGUAUACGGUGUGACGCCUGCCCGGUGC